GGCUCAAUGGUGUAGGUGCACAUCCUCAGAAAAUCCAAGGUUGCAGUCUUUUCCGAGGAAGGAGUGGGUUCGAUUCCCGCUUGAGCCG